rnacentral:rRNA from 1 species
UACGUAGGGUGCAAGCGUUGUCCGGAAUUAUUGGGCGUAAAGAGCUCGUAGGCGGUCUGUUGCGUCGGCUGUGAAAACCCGGGGCUCAACCCCGGGCCUGCAGCCGAUACGGGCAGACUAGAGUUCGGCAGGGGAGACUGGAAUUCCUGGUGUAGCGGUGAAAUGCGCAGAUAUCAGGAGGAACACCGGUGGCGAAGGCGGGUCUCUGGGCCUGACCUGACGCUGAGGAGCGAAAGCGUGGGGAGCGAACAGG